UGCAAGUCGUACGAGAGUUUUUAACUCUAGUGGCGGACGGGUGAGUAACACGUGAGAAUCUACCCUAAGGAGGGGAAUAACAGCUGGAAACGGUUGCUAAUACCCCAUAUGCCGUAAGGUGAAAGGAUUUAUCCACCUUAGGAAGAGCUCGCGUCUGAUUAGCUAGUUGGUGAGGUAAAGGCUCACCAAGGCCAUGAUCAGUAGCUGGUUUGAGAGGACGAUCAGCCACACUGGGACUGAGACACGGCCCAGACUCCUACGGGAGGCAGCAGUGGGGAAUUUUCCGCAAUGGGCGAAAGCCUGACGGAGCAAUACCGCGUGAGGGAUGAAAGCCUGUGGGUUGUAAACCUCUUUUCUCAAGGAAGAAGUUCUGACGGUACUUGAGGAAUAAGCAUCAGCUAACUCUGUGCCAGCAGCGGGGGUAAUACAGAGGAUGCAAGCGUUAUCCGGAAUCACUGGGCAUAAAGCGUCUGUAGGUGGUUUGAUAAGUCUGCUGUUAAAGACUAGGGCUUAACCCUAGGAAAGCAGUGGAAACUGUCUGACUUGAGUAUGGUAGAGGUACAGGGAAUUCCUAGUGUAGCGGUGAAAUGCGUAGAUAUUAGGAAGAACACCAAUGGCGAAAGCACUGUACUGGGCCACAACUGACACUGAGAGACGACAGCUAGGGGAGCAAAUGGGAUUAGAUACCCCAGUAGUCCUA
rnacentral:rRNA from 1 species